rnacentral:rRNA from 1 species
GACGAACGCUGGCGGCGUGCUUAACACAUGCAAGUCGAGCGGUAAGGCCCUUUCGGGGGUACACGAGCGGCGAACGGGUGAGUAACACGUGGGUGACCUGCCCUUAGCUCUGGGAUAAGCCUGGGAAACUGGGUCUAAUACCGGAUAUGACUCCAUGACGCAUGUUGUGGGGUGGAAAGCCUUGUGCGGCUAGGGAUGGGCCUGCGGCCUAUCAGCUUGUUGGUGGGGUGAUGGCCUACCAAGGCGACGACGGGUAGCCGGCCCGAGAGGGCGACCGGCCACACUGGGACUGAGACACGGCCCAGACUCCUACGGGAGGCAGCAGUGGGGAAUCUUGCGCAAUGGGCGAAAGCCUGACGCAGCGACGCCGCGUGGGGAUGACGGCCUCGGUGUAAC